UCAUUAGCUCAGUUGGUUAGAGCUACCGGCUCAUAACCGGUUGGUCGUAGGUUCGAGUCCUACAUGAUCC
rnacentral:tRNA from 1 species